rnacentral:lncRNA from 1 species
CACUAUAUUCACCAUAUACAUAAACAUUAAUCCCUCUGUGGGAUUUCAUCAAAGCCUCAAUGGGCAAUAUAUAUCCUGUGUUGAGUUGGUUCACAUAUACAUCAUAAAAUAAGAUCAUGUACAUACCAAGGGAUUAACAUAUACUAUGGUCAAGCACAACUCUAUCCUCAAUAACAUAAUUACAUAAACAUAACUGUUCAAAACUUUACAUUACAUUCUUAUCAUUUGUCAUGUCCACAUACUCUAGCUAUUACAUACAUAUGACUUUUCUCUUCUUUUCUUCUCUAUCAAACCCGUACCUGCAAACCUGGGGGUUAGGGGAGAGGGGUGAGCUAAAAGCCCAGUGAGCAGAAAUUAAAAACAUUAUAUUAAAGUUCAUGCUUUCAUGAAAUGCAUCAUAUCACAGACAAUCCACAUCAAGGGUGAACCUGUCACCAAUUAGUCCCAACAUAGUCUCGUGCCAGGCCGUAGCAUGGGGUCCUGGUCUUCCUGUCAUACAUACAUAAAGUCUCGUNNNNNNNNNNNNNNNNNNNNNNNNNNNNNNNNNNNNNNNNNNNNNNNNNNNNNNNNGCCAGGCCGUAGCAUGGGGUCCUGGUCUUCCUGUCAUAUCAUAUAUAUAAUCCCUCGUGCCAGGCCGUAGCAUGGGGUCCUGGUCUUCCUGUCAUAACAUACAUAUAUAAACCCUCGUGCCAGGCCGUAGCAUGGGGUCCUGGUCUUCCUGUUAUAUCAUAUGGACUAAUUGGAUCAUACAGCAUUCACCCACAACCACAGAGUAAAAUGCAAUGCGACAUAUUCGUGAACUAAUGCAAUCAGCCUAUUACAUGUCAUCAUGAUGCAUGAAACAUGCUCAAAACAUUUAAUUGCUUGAUUUUAAAACAUUAAGCUUGUUUCCACUCACCUCGGGUUAGCUCUGACCAGACACUGAAGCAGCUCACUCACUGCUGGGGUCCUCGGUUCCUCGGGUCCGAACCUACACAGGUGGACUCCAAUGAGGGACCAAACAUAUAUAAACACAACUCUAAUAUAUCCCCAAAAACCCCCUAAAACAUCAUGAAAACAUCAUAGAAAAUAUGCAUGAAACGGCUGAACAGGGCACCUUCGGCGGCACCUUCGGCGGCCGAAAGUCCUGGACAGAGACGAAACUCAGCUAGGUUCGGCGGCACCUUCGGCGGCCGAAAGUGCCAGACAGAGACGAAAGUCUCUUUUCGGGGGCACCUUCGGCAGCCGAAAGCUGCCUUCACAAGAGGGGUUCGGCGGCCGAAACUCCCUUCGGCUGCCGAACCUGGUUUCUGCCAAACGGCAGAAACUUGGUUCAAAUGAACCUCCUGCCUCCCAAAACCAUAGAUCAUGCAUAUUUCUCAACCAAAACACACAUACAAGUUCCUAGGGGUCUCAAACAUGCAUAUACCCCAUCUACAACACUUCAUUCACACACAAUCAAGCUACAUUGCUCAAAACAUCAUCAAAACCCAUAACCUCAACAUAUGUCCUAACAUGCAUUUCUACCCAUAGAUCUUACUUAAAACUUGUUUAAAACAUAAAAAGGGUUCAAGAUCGACCCUUACCUCUUGAAGAAACGAGAGGAAAGCGAUCCUAGCUUGGAGAUGGAGAGAUUAAGCUCUUUGAACCUCCAAGCACUCAAAACUUGCUCAAAGCUCACAAAUCUUCAAAACAAAGUUAUAAACUUGUUAAAACCACGAAAGAUCUAGAGGAAACGCUCAAGAUCGAGGGAGGAACGGUGGAGACUCACCUUGGCCGACAAUGGGAGAGAAAAAGCUCGCCCGUGCGGACCAAGGGGACCCUUUUAUAGUGGCUGGCCAGGCCACGUUCGGGGGCCGAAUGUGCCUCCGCAUCCAUGCAAUGUUCGGCGGCCGAACAUAAGGUUCGGCGGCCGAACCUGC